rnacentral:rRNA from 1 species
AGUCGAGCGGUAACAGAUCCAGCUUGCUAGGAUGCUGACGAGCGGCGGACGGGUGAGUAAUGCAUAGGAAUCUGCCCGAUAGUGGGGGAUAACCUGGGGAAACCCAGGCUAAUACCGCAUACGUCCUACGGGAGAAAGGGGGCUCCGGCUCCCGCUAUGGGAUGAGCCUAUGUCGGAUUAGCUAGUUGGUGAGGUAACGGCUCACCAAGGC